rnacentral:tRNA from 4 species
GUCCAUGUAGCUUAUAAUAAAGCAUGACACUGAAGAUGUCAAGAUGGCUGCCACAAACACCCAUGGACA